CCUACGGGUGGCAGCAGUGGGGAAUAUUUCGCAAUGGGCGAAAGCCUGACGCAGCGACGCCGCGUGAGGGAUGAAGGUCCUCGGAUCGUAAACCUCUGUCAGUAGGGAAGAACAGUCACAGUGCUAAUCAGCAGUGAAUUGACGGUACCUGCAAAGGACGCGCCGGCUAACUCCGUGCCAGCAGCCGCGGUAAUACGGAGGGUGCGAGCGUUAAUCGGAAUUACUGGGCGUAAAGCGCUCGUAGGCGGUAUGGAAAGUCAAGGGUGAAAUCCCCGGGCUCAACGUGGGCACUGCCUAUGAAACUGGCAAACUGGAGUGUGUGAGAGGGAAGUGGAAUUCCAGGUGUAGGAGUGAAAUGCGUAGAUAUCUGGAGGAACAUCAGUGGCGAAGGCGACUAUCUGGCACAUAACUGACGCUGAGGAGCGAAAGCGUGGGUAGCAAACAGGAUUAGAUACCCGGGUAGUC
rnacentral:rRNA from 1 species